rnacentral:rRNA from 1 species
AGAGUUUGAUCAUGGCUCAGAUUGAACGCUGGCGGCAGGCCUAACACAUGCAAGUCGAACGGUAACAGGAAACAGCUUGCUGUUUCGCUGACGAGUGGCGGACGGGUGAGUAAUGUCUGGGAAACUGCCUGAUGGAGGGGGAUAACUACUGGAAACGGUAGCUAAUACCGCAUAACGUCGCAAGACCAAAGAGGGGGACCUUCGGGCCUCUUGCCAUCAGAUGUGCCCAGAUGGGAUUAGCUAGUAGGUGGGGUAACGGCUCACCUAGGCGACGAUCCCUAGCUGGUCUGAGAGGACGACCAGCCACACUGGAACUGAGACACGGUCCAGACUCCUACGGGAGGCAGCAGUGGGGAAUAUUGCACAAUGGGCGCAAGCCUGAUGCAGCCAUGCCGCGUGUAUGAAGAAGGCCUUCGGGUUGUAAAGUACUUUCAGCGGGGAGGAAGGGAGUAAAGUUAAUACCUUUGCUCAUUGACGUUACCCGCAGAAGAGGCACCGGCUAACUCCGUGCCAGCAGCCGCGGUAAUACGGAGGGUGCAAGCGUUAAUCGGAAUUACUGGGCGUAAAGCGCACGCAGGCGGUUUGUUAAGUCAGAUGUGAAAUCCCCGGGCUCAACCUGUGAACUGCAUCUGAUACUGGCAAGCUUGAGUCUCGUAGAGGGGGGUAGAAUUCCAGGUGUAGCGGUGAAAUGCGUAGAGAUCUGGAGGAAUACCGGUGGCGAAGGCGGCCCCCUGGACGAAGACUGACGCUUAGGUGCGAAAGCGUGGGGAGCAAACAGGAUUAGAUACCCUGGUAGUCCACGCCGUAAACGAUGUCGACUUGGAGGUUGUGCCCUUGAGGCGUGGCUUCCGGAGCUAACGCGUUAAGUCGACCGCCUGGGGAGUACGGCCGCAAGGUUAAAACUCAAAUGAAUUGACGGGGGCCCGCACAAGCGGUGGAGCAUGUGGUUUAAUUCGAUGCAACGCGAAGAACCUUACCUGGUCUUGACAUCCACGGAAGUUUUCAGAGAUGAGAAUGUGCCUUCGGGAACCGUGAGACAGGUGCUGCAUGGCUGUCGUCAGCUCGUGUUGUGAAAUGUUGGGUUAAGUCCCGCAACGAGCGCAACCCUUAUCCUUUGUUGCCAGCGGUCCGGCCGGGAACUCAAAGGAGACUGCCAGUGAUAAACUGGAGGAAGGUGGGGAUGACGUCAAGUCAUCAUGGCCCUUACGACCAGGGCUACACACGUGCUACAAUGGCGCAUACAAAGAGAAGCGACCUCGCGAGAGCAAGCGGACCUCAUAAAGUGCGUCGUAGUCCGGAUUGGAGUCUGCAACUCGACUCCAUGAAGUCGGAAUCGCUAGUAAUCGUGGAUCAGAAUGCCACGGUGAAUACGUUCCCGGGCCUUGUACACACCGCCCGUCACACCAUGGGAGUGGGUUGCAAAAGAAGUAGGUAGCUUAACCUUCGGGAGGGCGCUUACCACUUUGUGGUUCAUGACUGGGGUGAAGUCGUAACAAGGUAACCGUAGGGGAACCUGCGGUUG